AGCAGCCGCGGUAAUUCCAGCUCCAAUAGCGUAUAUUAAAGUUGUUGCAGUUAAAAAGCUCGUAGUUGAAUUUCGGGAUCAGUUGAUCGGUCGUGCCUCGGUACGUACUGGUCAAAUUGAUUCCUACCUUCUGACGAACCACGAUGUCAUUAAUUUGGUGUCGCGGGAAAUCAGGACUGUUACUUUGAAAAAUUAGAGUGUUUAAAGCAGGCUCGCGCUUGAAUACAUUAGCAUGGAAUAAUGAAAUAGGACGUUUGACUCUAUUUUGUGGUUUCUAGGAUCGACGUAAUGAUUAAUAGGGAUAGGUUGGGGCAUUAGUAUUCAAUUGUCAGAGGUGAAAUUCUUGGAUUUA
rnacentral:rRNA from 1 species